GAUGAACGCUGGCGGCGUGCCUAAUACAUGCAAGUCGAGCGAACAGACGAGGAGCUUGCUUCUCUGACGUUAGCGGCGGACGGGUGAGUAACACGUGGAUAACCUACCUAUAAGACUGGGAUAACUUCGGGAAACCGGAGCUAAUACCGGAUAAUAUAUUGAACCGCAUGGUUCAAUAGUGAAAGACGGUUUUGCUGUCACUUAUAGAUGGAUCCGCGCCGCAUUAGCUAGUUGGUAAGGUAACGGCUUACCAAGGCGACGAUGCGUAGCCGACCUGAGAGGGUGAUCGGCCACACUGGAACUGAGACACGGUCCAGACUCCUACGGGAGGCAGCAGUAGGGAAUCUUCCGCAAUGGGCGAAAGCCUGACGGAGCAACGCCGCGUGAGUGAUGAAGGUCUUCGGAUCGUAAAACUCUGUUAUUAGGGAAGAACAGAUGUGUAAGUAACUAUGCACGUCUUGACGGUACCUAAUCAGAAAGCCACGGCUAACUACGUG
rnacentral:rRNA from 1 species